rnacentral:rRNA from 1 species
AUACGGAGGGGACAGGCGUUAUUCGGAAUCACUGGGCGUAAAGGACGCGUAGGCGGGUUAUUAAGUCGGGUGUGAAAUCCAAUGGCUCAACCAUUGAACUGCAUUCGAAACUGAUAACCUAGAGUAUGGAAGGGGCAGGUGGAAUUAGUGGUGUAGGGUUAAAAUCCGUAGAUAUCACUAGGAAUACCGAAAGCGAAGGCGACCUGCUGGGACAUUACUGACGCUGAGGCGUGAAAGCGUGGGGAGCAAACAGGAUUAGAUACCCCAGUAGUCC